CUACGGAGGGGGCUAGCGUUGUACGGAAUUACUGGGCGUAAAGCGCGCGUAGGCGGAUUGAUCAGUCAGGGGUGAAAUCCCGGAGCUUAACUCCGGAACUGCCUUUGAUACUGUCAAUCUUGAGUUCGAGAGAGGUGAGUGGAAUUCCUAGUGUAGAGGUGAAAUUCGUAGAUAUUAGGAAGAACACCAGUGGCGAAGGCGGCUCACUGGCUCGAUACUGACGCUGAGGUGCGAAAGCGUGGGGAGCAAACAGGAUUAGAAACCCCAGUAGUCC
rnacentral:rRNA from 1 species